rnacentral:rRNA from 1 species
UACGUAGGGCGCAAGCGUUGUCCGGAAUUAUUGGGCGUAAAGAGCUCGUAGGCGGUUUGUCGCGUCUGCUGUGAAAACUCGAGGCUCAACCUCGGGCUUGCAGUGGGUACGGGCAGACUAGAGUGCGGGUAGGGGGAGACUGGAAUUCCUGGGUGUAGCGGUGGAAUGCGCAGAUAUCAGGAGGAACACCGAUGGGCGAAGGCAGGUCUCUGGGCCGCAAC